rnacentral:rRNA from 1 species
AGUGAACGCUGGCGGUAGGCCUAACACAUGCAAGUCGAACGGCAGCACAGUAAGAGCUUGCUCUUACGGGUGGCGAGUGGCGGACGGGUGAGGAAUACAUCGGAAUCUACUUUUUCGUGGGGGAUAACGUAGGGAAACUUACGCUAAUACCGCAUACGACCUACGGGUGAAAGCAGGGGAUCUUCGGACCUUGCGCGAUUGAAUGAGCCGAUGUCGGAUUAGCUAGUUGGCGGGGUAAAGGCCCACCAAGGCGACGAUCCGUAGCUGGUCUGAGAGGAUGAUCAGCCACACUGGAACUGAGACACGGUCCAGACUCCUACGGGAGGCAGCAGUGGGGAAUAUUGGACAAUGGGCGCAAGCCUGAUCCAGCCAUACCGCGUGGGUGAAGAAGGCCUUCGGGUUGCAAAGCCCUUUUGUUGGGAAAGAAAAGCAGCAGGUUAAUACCCCGCUGUUCUGACGGUACCCAAGGAAUAAGCACCGGCUAACUUCGUG